rnacentral:tRNA from 1 species
GGGUGAUUAGCUCAGUUGGCUAGAGCGCGUCCUUGCCAAGGACGAGGNNCUCGUUUACACCGAGAGGGUCGGGGGUUCGAGUCCCUCAUCACCCACCA